AGCUGAUAGAGCAAAACUGAAUGGCUGGGAUUGCUGGCAAUGCGAAAAAUAUUACAAGGCUUUAACCCUAUCUGAAGAGGAAUUGCAAAAGCGAAGAAAUCAAUGUUCGCGGCAUCGGCACAAGUACGAAAGACCGCGAACACCAGAAGGUUUUUGGGAUCCAGAUUUUCCCGAGAUGUCUCCGUCUCCAUAAGACAUUGUGAAAUUUUAUAUAUUGCUAUUAACAAAAAGAUUA